rnacentral:lncRNA from 1 species
AUGACUCUAGGUCUAUAUCUAGCUACUGUUCUGUAUAUGACUGUAGGUCUAUAUCUAGCUACCCCCCUGUAUAUGACUGUAGGUCUAUAUCUAGCUACCCCCCUGUAUAUGACUGUAGGUCUAUAUCUAGCUACUGUUCUGUAUAUGACUGUAGGUCUAUAUCUAGCUACUGUUCUAAAUAUGACUGUAGGUCUAUAUCUAGCUACUGUUCUGUAUAUGACUGUAGGUCUAUAUCUAGCUACCCCCCUGUAUAUGACUGUAGGUCUAUAUCUAGCUACUGUUCUGUAUAUGACUGUAGGUCUAAAUCUAGCUACCCCCCUGUAUAUGACUGUAGGUCUAUAUCUAGCUACUGUUCUAAAUAUGACUGUAGGUCUAUAUAUAGCUACCCCCCUGUAUAUGACUGUAGGUCUAUAUCUAGCUACCCCCCUGUAUAUGACUGUAGGUCUAUAUCUAGCUACUGUUCUGUAUAUGACUGUAGGUAUAUAUCUAGCUACCCCCCCUGUAUAUGACUGUAGGUCUAUAUCUAGCUACCCCCCUGUAUAUGACUGUAGUCUAUAUCUAGCUACUGUUCUAAAUAUGACUGUAGGUCUAUAUCUAGUUACUGUUCUGUAUAUGACUGUAGGUCUAUAUCUAGUUACUGUUCUGUAUAUGACUGUAGGUCUAUAUCUAGCUACUGUUCUAAAUAUGACUGUAGGUCUAUAUCUAGCUACCCCCCUGUAUAUGACUGUAGGUCUAUAUCUAGCUACCCCCCCUGUAUAUGACUGUAGGUCUAUAUCUAGCUACCCCCCUGUAUAUGACUGUAGGUCUAUAUCUAGCUACCCCUCUGUAUAUGACUGUAGGUCUGUAUCUAGUUACUGUUCUGUAUCUGACUGUAGGUCUAUAUCUAGCUACUGUUCUGUAUAUGACUGUAGGUCUAUAUAUAGCUACCCCCUGUAUACUACUGUAGGUCUAUAUCUAGCUACUGUUCUGUAUAUGACUUUAGGUCUAUAUCUAGCUCCCCCCUGUAUAUGA